rnacentral:rRNA from 1 species
UGACCUCGGAUCAAGUGGGGAUACCCGCUGAACUUAAGCAUAUCAAUAAGCGGAGGAA